AAGCCAGGAUAAUGUAGUCUUAAUCGUUCUGAAAUACGAAAAAUGUUGUGGAAAUCGCGUGAAAUAAUCAGAGGAAUCGUUUGAAAUCAUCGUAGUAAUCGCGCGAAAAUCACGUGAAAUAAUCAGAGGAAUCGUUUGAAAUCAUCGUAGUAAUCGCGCGAAAAUCACGUGAAAUAAUCAGAGGAAUCGUUUGAAAUCAUCGUAGUAAUCGCGCGAAAAUCACGUGAAAUAAUCAGAGGAAUCGUUUGAAAUCAUCGUAGUAAUCGCGCGAAAAUCACGUGAAAUAAUCAGAGGAAUCGUUUGAAAUCAUCGUAGUAAUCGCGCGAAAAUCACGUGAAAUAAUCAGAGGAAUCGUUUGAAAUCAUCGUAGUAAUCGCGCGAAAAUCGCGUGAAAUAAUCAGAGGAAUCGUUUGAAAUCAUCGUAGUAAUCGCGCGAAAAUCGCGUGAAAUAAUCAGAGGAAUCGUUUGAAAUCAUCGUAGUAAUCGCGCGAAAAUCGCGUGAAAUACUAUGGUAGACGGUUUGAGUAAAUUAAUGGAGUAUUUUAAU
rnacentral:ncRNA from 14 species